GAUCCUGGCUCAGGAUGAACGCUGGCGGCGUGCUUAACACAUGCAAGUCGAACGAGGAUUUAACGGAAUGCGAUUCGUCAAAUGAAAUUAAAUCCGAGUGGCGGACGGGUGAGUAACGCGUGGAUAACCUGCCUCACACAGGGGGGACAACAGCCGGAAAACGGCUGCUAAUACCGCAUAACACAAGCAAUUCGCAUGAAUAGCUUGUCAAAGAUUUUAUCGGUGUGAGAUGGAUCCG
rnacentral:rRNA from 1 species